UGAGGCUUGAGUGUUGAAAAAAACAUAAAACGGAAAGUUGAAGGCCUCGCCUCCUAGCCGGAUCGCCAGCGCCGGCUUGGUCGGUCCUCUGCCCGCCGGGUGCCGUCCCGGAAUCCGGUCACCUGUCACCGGCCGGCGGGCGACCACCUCCUCAGGUCUAAAAGCAUCAGCAGCACCUACAGCCUGAGGCCAGUGGCCAGUGGGUGACUUACAGGCUACAGGGGAGCUGCGUGAUGCUGCUUUGGAGUGUGGAGGACCGACCAGAGGGGCCAGGGCCGUGAGGCGGUGCGGACUUCUGCUCAUUUUGGGUUGUGCAAAACGUUGGGGGCAUCGAUAAAUUUGUGGUUGCUCCUAUGCUCUCGAGUCUGUCGAGACCGUGAGGGCUGUGAAGCAAUGACCGAACCAUCGGAAGUCCGGUGGUGAGCUGCUGCUGCUCCACCGGUGAGUGCAAGCAAUUGUGCAACAGUGCAAGGAAGGUCAGCCACAUUAGGAAGCUUGCAAAGCUCCUCUGCAUGAAGAUGCCUUAGAUUGUGGGUUGGAUUUCUUGUCCAUUUGUGGCCAGCUCUGCUUCUGACUUGUGAGUUCUUGACUGCAAAGAUGAAUUUGAGAAAUGGGACUUGACCUGCUGGUACGAGGUUUGACCGUUUCUAGUGCCUUUACCAAGACCAGCGACUUGGAAGGGGUUGGGAAGGAUACUUUCAUAAGAGCGAGACAGGGUGUUUGGGUCUAGGGUUUCUGACGGGGCCUCUGGAAGAGGGUGUUUUGACUCACAUGUCACAUGCUGGGGGUGGCAAAUAUGGAGGUGGUGAUGGGCAAACAUUGUAGCAAGUUUCAGCUGGACGAAUGAAUUCAAACUAAUUGCAUCGAAUAAUCUUAUAUUACAUGUCA